UUUACUGAGAGUUUGAUCCUGGCUCAGGACGAACGCUGGCGGCGUGCCUAAUACAUGCAAGUCGUGCGGACUUUUUAAAAGCUUGCUUUUAAAAGGUUAGCGGCGGACGGGUGAGUAACACGUGGGCAACCUGCCUGUAAGAUCGGGAUAACGCCGGGAAACCGGGGCUAAUACCGGAUAUUUUUUUCCUCCGCAUGGAGGAAAAAGGAAAGACGGCUUCGGCUGUCACUUACAGAUGGGCCCGCGGCGCAUUAGCUAGUUGGUGGGGUAACGGCUCACCAAGGCAA
rnacentral:rRNA from 1 species